rnacentral:rRNA from 1 species
GACGAACGCUGGCGGCGUGCUUAACACAUGCAAGUCGAACGGAAACGCCUCUUUCGGGGGGUACUCGAGUGGCGAACGGGUGAGUAACACGUGAGUAACCUGCCCUUUACUUUGUGAUAACUUCAGGAAACUGGGGCUAAUACCUGAUAGGACCUCCUGCUGCCUGGUGGGGGCUGGAAAGUUUCGGCGGUUGGGGAUGUGCUGGCGGCUUAUCCGCUUGUUGUUGUGGUAGUGGCUUACCAAGGCCUUGACGGGUAGCCGGCCUGAGGGGGUGACCGGCCGCAUUGGGACUGAGGUGCGGCACAGACUCCUACGAGUGGAAGAUGUGGGGAAUAUUGCACAAGGGGUGGAGGCCUGGUGCAGCAACGCCGUGUGCGGGAUGACGGCCUUCGGGUUGAAGAACGCUUUCGCUCAUGACGAAGCUUUGUGUGACGGUAGUGAGUAAAGAAGCACCGGCUAACUACGUG